rnacentral:sRNA from 1 species
CUGUUUUCGUCUUCUCAGCAAAAGAUGCUCGUUUAUGACGUGAAAUCAUCAUACCGUGCAUAAUCUGGGUUGUUCGGUAUAGUAGUGAUUUAAAAUUUUGGCUUCAAGCUAGGUCAUUCUGAUCAUGCUUUAAUUUUUAUGAAACAUCCAAAUAGUAAGAUCAUUGAUAAUUUACGUUGAUGGUUGCAUUGAUAUGAUAAUUACAUGAAUGACAGACAAAAGUUCGAG